CCGAUGUCCUUCUGAAGAACAAUCAACUCUGCCCUUCCUCCGAACCAGACUGACUCAGGCGAUCUGUCCUCAUUGAAUUCAGUGGUGUCCAACCUUUAGGCGUCCUGUUCUUAUCUCAUUUCUGUUCUCUAAACCAGCCUACAUGCACACCCACUGAUACUUAAAGAAUGAUCACAGCACAUGUAGCCUCGAUUCCUGGUUUACUUGAUCAGUGUCUCCAGAAAUUGUAUACACACCACAAUCUGGUCUUUGGGCACUCAACAAGGAAAUUUCUACUUUGGUACAGAAUUACAGAGAGUGCUGGAUUGGCUUUUGCAGAGGAUCAAUGAUUAGAGAAUCAAAGGACUCCAUUCCACCAAGAUUCCCACGCUUCUCAGGCACAGAUUAUGAAGCCCUCUAAACCCAUUCUAUUCACACUGAAAUUCUUACUAUAUAAGCAUCCCUAUAGGAAGAGGAGAUUAGGUUACAGACAC